GCCUCCCUGUUGAAAGCACGAUGGUGAAGAUGGAGCUGGGCAGUGAUUUGGUCUAUGCAGAAAGCAGCGGGGCCUUACCGCAGGAAGCUGACAGGGGCACAGAGAAAUCCAGUGCAGUGCCUUGCCCAGGUUCACCCGCAUGAGAGCCCACAAUAAAAUUCAAGUCAGCCCUGCCAUUCCAGCACCGUACAUCACACCAACUAACAACAAAGCACAACUUUGCCUUGUUGAGCACAUGAAGAGACUCUUAGUCGUAAGUUAAAUAUCCUGCGAUUCCAAGACGUGCGAAUGCAAGCUGCUUUACAUUACACAGGAGCAAGCCUUUGCAGUUAGCAGGGAGACCUGCAGCAUUCACAAUUUCCACAGUGCAGUGUUAGCGCUUGGUUGUUCCCGUAGCGACCACUCCAUAUCCAGUACUGCUGCGGUUCAACGGCUCCUGUAACGUCACAUGACAUUUUGAUGAUGCAACCAACUAUUUCAAUUGCGCCUCAGAUUCACACUUUGUGCAAUUCCGUUUUAUAUAUGGUUUGAAAAUAUAUCGCGCUAAACGGCAAACCUGCAAUCAUGCAAAACGCGUAUUCACGACUGAUUCGCAGCCUGGAUUUCGUUGCGAUUCCUUGAGUUCUUAAAGAGAAGCCUACUAGUUCUCGAAGGCAUGUUUUUCUACAGGUGCUAUUACCGUGACUUGUAGCAGAGUAUGCAUAAUCUGUAGUGCUUGAACAAAAUUUUCUUUUGUAGUCUGAAGAGCUGCUCAUAAAGAAAGUCUGACUGAUAACUGGGCAGGCUUAAAGAGAAAUUUAUAAUUCCCAUUUACUUAUCAUCAACUAUCAGUUGGAAAUGACUCACAUUCAGUGUUAGGACCAAUAUCGCACCAAAUCCCACAUAGCUGGGCACAACUGUUUUAGUUAAGUUUAAAAAAAAUUAUAACUGUUACUUGCACGGAACAAAGUUUGUCUGAACCCAAAUUCUGCAUUCAUCUACACAGAAUAAACUGGUAAAAUGUUGCCAUGGGAACAUUAGACUAACGAGAUUUGGAUUUGAUCUCCAGUUCACAGAAAAGACGGCAUUUUUUUAAUUGCUGCAGCCAGUUAAAAAUAGCGAGCACUGAAGAUAAACUCAAGAAUAUUUCAGUGAGAGCCAGCACGAAGCAGUUGUUUCCCACUCACUCUUCCACUUCUCCCUGCACAGCUUUUUCUCCACCAGUCAUCAAAACUCCCCCGUGUUCCCAACGCUUGCUAAUACCCAGAGUUGCCACGGGCUGGCACCUUAACCCUGCAGCAGCACAAGUCACACCCCUGACACAGGGGUAAGACCUUUGCUAAGGCCCUUUGGCACACAAGAGUCUCAGGGCACUUGUUUGCAUUAAGCAUCCAACUUGGUACUUCCCAAAUACUACCUACGGUAGCUGAAAUUUUUGCUGAAGCUCCUCAAAGAAAGACAGCCUGAGGCAAACAGCCGUGUGAAGAAUUUCAGCCUGAGCAGCUCAAGUCUGGCAGCGUUAGAAAAAGCUGAAACCCAAAUCGUGUCACCUUAAGUGUCAGGAAACUUUAACGAAGUGGCACAAACGCUUCUGUCUAUAAUAAGCACAUGUAGAAAUGCAGAAUUGAGACAAUAUUCUUCUGCAGGGUCAGUAUAUGGUCAGAGGGUUUUGCAAGACCGCUGACAAAAGGAGUUGGAAAAUUUUAAGAAGCAGCUGAGAGAAAAGAAUGUGAAAGUUGAAAUGUCGAUGAGACACAAAAUGUGGGAGUAUAACCAUUAAAGUGUCAGAGGACGAAGGAAUGAGGUUAUUAAACACUUCUGUGCCCGCUGCCUCUGACAAGGGGCACCCACUCCUCUUCCGCGCUCAGCGCUCUAAGCAGCGGGCCGCUUGUUCAGUUCACAAACAGCUACAAGGGCCCCUUCCCAAACAAAUUAGCAGAGCUCCAAACAGCCUGUUUCAAUCCAGCAAACCUUCUACCCCAGAGACAAAGCAAAUUCUCAGUUUCUGUAGCAAUGAAAAAUCCCUUCGUUAUCCUCCAAGCAAACUUCAUGCUUUUGUGCCCAUUAAGCAUUUACGUGUGCUUAAAAAUGCACGUGGGCACACGUCCACCCGCACGUGGG